GAGGAGCAGGCAGCUGUGGUGCUGAGAUAGGAGCUUGAAAUGCUUCAUGGUGCCAAGACUGUCAUAAACGGCUCCUGGGGUCUGAAAAAACGACAGCAGGAUUCAGCGUUCCUCUGACAACCACUCAGAAAAUAGAAUGUGAAGAAGAAGGAGGAAGGGAAGAUGCGGGGCCAGCCAUCAGAAUGUUCCCUGUGGCUCCAUGGAUGCCUAGAAAUGCUAGUCACUUCAAGGGCACAGAAUGUCAAAUGACUGAAGUAAAAGAGGAAGUAACAUUGCUCAGGGAUGGAGAUUUGUGGCUUCUCUCUUUGGAAAGAUGGUGAGUUUGAUUUAGAUUCCACAUAUAAAUGAGACCAUGCAGUAUUUGUCUAUGUCUGGCUGAUUUCACUU
rnacentral:lncRNA from 1 species